GAUGAACGCUGGCGGCAGGCUUAACACAUGCAAGUCGAACGCCCCGCAAGGGGAGUGGCAGACGGGUGAGUAACGCGUGGGAAUCUACCCAGUUCUACGGAACAACACAGGGAAACUUGUGCUAAUACCGUAUACGCCCUACGGGGGAAAGAUUUAUCGGAAUUGGAUGAGCCCGCGUUGGAUUAGCUAGUUGGUGGGGUAAUGGCCUACCAAGGCGACGAUCCAUAGCUGGUCUGAGAGGAUGAUCAGCCACACUGGGACUGAGACACGGCCCAGACUCCUACGGGAGGCAGCAGUGGGGAAUAUUGGACAAUGGGCGAAAGCCUGAUCCAGCCAUGCCGCGUGAGUGAUGAAGGCCUUAGGGUUGUAAAGCUCUUUCAGUGGGGACGAUAAUGACGGUACCCACAGAAGAAGCCCCGGCUAACUUCGUGCCAGCCGCCGCCGCUGUAA
rnacentral:rRNA from 1 species